rnacentral:lncRNA from 1 species
GAUCAUCACCAAGCAAUAUGCUUAAAAUCCCUACCACCAUACAGAAAACACAACUGAAGGAUGAAGCUUGCCAUUCUAGCAUCUAUUUUUCUCUGGAACAACACCCUUGCCCAAAGUGUAAAUCCUCCAUAACAAUCUACAACAUGAUGGAAAUUAUUUGUGCCACAGAAUAGUAGAAGAUUAAUGCAGUUACCAUUUAUUGCCAUUUAAUCUGAUAUCCAUCAGAUGGUCUCACAAAUUAAAAAUCAAGAAUAGAAAAUCAAUCCAUUUACACAAGUUACAGGUACUAGCUAUGAAUAUACCUUGAUAUCUUCUGGCGUCUGCAUAGGUGACAGAUAUGAGCUUAGCAUAUAUCACUAUGAGAUGAAAGUGAAUAGGCUCUGCCUAAUCUGUUUCUCAAAAACAAGAGAGAUAUUAUGAGACAAAU